GGGAAGAGAGGACACUCUCUUGGAGACACAUUCUGACUCUUGGACUGGACUCAAGACUCCCACUCUCAAACUCUCUGGGAUUCAUACGGACACUCUCAAAGACUCUUAAACUCACUCAAACUCACACCUAACAUCUAAGGUCUGACAUCUGGAGCCAAAGCUGGACACACCUAAUUCUUAGUAUCUUUCCCAACUAACACAACUUCAGAACUGAAAAACUUUUCUAUUUUCAUACAAUUCUCUCAUCAUACUUGCACUCAAAAUUCCUGAGACACAUCUACACGACUGAUAGAAAAUCUACAACAUAACUGGUAAUUAUGUUGGUUUUAUUUAAUUAAAUUAAUUGAUUUUAUUAAAAG